rnacentral:tRNA from 1 species
GCCCUCGUAGCUCAAUUGGAUAGAGCGACGGUUUCCUAAACCGUAGGUUCCAAGUUCAAUCCUUGGCGGGGGCGCCA